rnacentral:rRNA from 1 species
CCCUUAGAUGUCCUGGGCCGCGCGCGCGCUACACUGACAUGUUCAACAAGUUUCUCCUAGUUCGACAGGACUGGGAAAUCUUUGAACGCAUGUCGUGAUAGGGAUAGAUCAUUGCAAUUAUUGAUCUUGAACGAGGAAUUCCUAGUAAACGCGAGUCAUCAGCUCGCAUUGAUUACGUCCCUGCCCUUUGUACACACCGCCCGUCGCACCUACCGAUUGAAUGUUUCGGUGAAGAUUCCGGAUAGGACUGAUUUGAUUUAUUUCAUUUCUGACCUAAAAGCUAUCUAAACCUCAACAUUUAGAGGAAGGUGAAGUCGUAACA